rnacentral:tRNA from 1 species
CCGCCAAGCUGGGCAAUGGCACGCUGACUCCGCUGGGCGCGGAGAUGGCCGGCAACGCGGAUGGCUCGAUUCCGUCCUGGACGGGC